GUCCGUCACAGUUGGUGUUACUGACACCUCUUUGGCAAGGCCAGGCUUGGUUCCCAGAACUACUAGAGCUGUCAUAGCGAGACCCGCUCCUUCUCCCGUCUCCGCAAUUUCUCCUGUCGGAUUCUCUGGGCAACCAUCACCCCCUCGUGCUGGAGGGACAUCUUCACUUGGUGGCUUGGACUCUUUCCGGGGUACCUGGAAUGUCGAUGAGCUAUCGGGAACGGCUAGAAGCCUACUCUGGGACUCAUGGGCUCCAGGAACGAGGAGAUGUUAUCUAUCCGCAUGGAACAUAUGGUGCCGUUGGUGCAUGGAACGGAGUAUCGAUCCCUUUACAGCACCUGUAUCCAGUGUACUGAAUUUCCUUUGCUACCCCUUCGACCAAGGGAGGUCAUAUCGCUCGGUUAACGUUGCCAGAUCGGCCAUUUCAUGUUCCUCUUCAGGGGACGCCCAUUGGUCAAGAUCCUUUGGUUUGUAGACUAUUGCGAGGAAUCAGACUGUCACGUCCGGCUCCUAAGUAUGCAUCACUCUGGGAUGUGCACCGAGUUUUGGAUUUCAUUCAGGCGUGGCCGCAGAAUCAGGACCUUUCUCUACGACAGUUAUCGGCCAAAUUCACACUUCUUAUGCCUGGUAUCUUUUCGUCGGGUCUCCGACAUUCGAGCUUUUGAUGUUAACGCAUUCACCUUUUCUCCGGGUGGGGUGACCUUUGCGGUGUCAAGACAUACCAAAUCCGACUCCUCUGCCAUUUUCGACCCCUUUUUUGUGAGGCCCCCAAGCUUGGUGUGGUUUCUGCUCUGUCUCGUUAUGUGGCUGUUACUACCCCACUUCGAAGUUCCCUAUCAAGACAACUGUUGAUAUCUUAUAAACCGGUGUCUACCAUUACCCUGGCUCAUUGGAUCAGAUGGCUUUUGUCAUUGGCCGGCGUGGACUCCGCUUUUGGCGCUCAUUCGGUAAGGGGCGCGGUGGCAUCAGGAGUCCUGGUAGCGGGUGCUUCCCUGGCCAAUAUUCUACAUUCAGCGGACUGGUCUCGAGAAGACACAUUUCGACAGUUUUAUUUCAGGCCUACAGAACAUGCAGCCUUUGCCCUUCUGGCUGAGCGUUGAAAC